UCGCCUAUUGCCUAAAACAUCU
rnacentral:siRNA from 1 species